rnacentral:rRNA from 1 species
CCUACGGGAGGCAGCAGUGAGGAAUAUUCCACAAUGGGCGAAAGCCUGAUGGAGCGACGCCGCGUGCGGGAUGAAGCCCUUUGGGGUGUAAACCGCUUUUAGAGGGUAGUCAGUACCCUCUGAAUAAGCAUCGGCUAACUACGUGCCAGCAGCCGCGGUAAUACGUAGGAUGCAAGCGUUGUCCGGAUUUACUGGGCGUAAAGCGCGCGCAGGCGGCACAGUAAGUAAGGUGUGAAAUAUCCCUGCUCAACGGGGAGGGUGCACUUUAGACUGCUGAGCUUGAGGUCGGUAGAGGGGGGUGGAAUUGCUGGUGUAGCGGUGAAAUGCGUAGAGAUCAGCAGGAACACCCGUGGCGAAGGCGGCCCCCUGGGCCGUCCUGACGCUGAGGCGCGAAGGCUAGGGGAGCGAACGGGAUUAGAUACCCUUGUAGUC